rnacentral:lncRNA from 1 species
GAAAAUGUAUGUAGGAUGAGGACAUCUUUUUGAGUCGAAAGUGGAUGCCAGAGCCUCAGGAAGCUGGUACCAUCCACAAGAACGGCUUUAUGUUAGUAAGUCCCAUCCUUCUAAGGUCUUUAACUAACUCUUGGUUCUGUUUUUUUCACCAAUUUGCAAUUGUUUGCCUUGUGUGUGCUUAGUUUGAAUACUUUAAAGUUUUAUGGAUGUGGUGCAUUGAGUAUAGUAUAUUUGUUUGUAAACUUUUAAAUUUUUCGAAUAGAUUGGUUAAUAAAAUAAAUUCAUUAAUUAUGGUAAUAUACUUGGUAUAAUUGUCCUCAUAUGUUUUUUGCAUUCAAAAUAAAAUAAAAGUAAAUAUUAGCUCACUAGUUUUCUAAUAUUUAAACUAAUACUAAGCAGUAUUACGUGGUUGGAUUGUAAUACAGAAAAAUAACUUAUAUUAAUAGACUAACCUAAACAUGUCCUUAAUCUAAUCGAGAAUGAACAAAUUGAUUGAAAAACUAAUAUGUCAUCUAUCAAAUCCAAUUAGAAAAUGAGCAUCGGAGCAGGUGACUCCCAAAAGAUAAAGAUAUAGAUGUGACUGAUUGGAUUGACAAUACAUCGGACUGGAUCCAUAAAGAAUAGAUCUUGAAUCUGUUUAUGAAUUUAUUCACUUGUAACGUUUAUAGUAUGACAUACCUAGAUCCUGAAUAGAUGAUUGACUAUGUUUGCAUGAUUCGUAUAUUUUGAUAUAAGUAAAAGUAUGAUUUCAAAUAGAUAAAAAAACCGAAAGUUGGUAUGUUGGGUACACGAUUUCUGCAGUAUGUAGCAUCAUUUACAACAGUGAAAUUUAUAGUCCGAGACAUGAGUAAAUGAUAUCCUCUCAUUGACAUUACAUAGUUAAUGAAAAGUAAACUGGCUACAAGUUGUUCAUCAUUGUGAUUAAUGACUUGAUUAUUAUUUGACAGUAAUUAACUUUUCAUGAGAUAAAACAAGAUCAUAUUAGGAGAACGAAUGUUAUCCCAAAAAGAUUAAGGAUGUCUUAUGAGGGUAAUAUACUUAUGACACGGUCAUUGAACGAGCAUUAAUCGAGUUGCUUUCGUAAUAGUAUAUCGUUAAGGAUGGCUCAGUCACGAUACUAUUAUGGAAUGACUUCGUGACUAAAUAAGUUUAUAAAAUAUUAUGUUAAAAGUUUAAGAAAUACUUGUAAUUGAACUUAAUAUGGGAGAGACCCAAAAGCCCUCAUAUUUAAUGGGAGGGACGAUAAACCCUAAUAUUAUUAAUUAGGGUAGGGUUGUCGCCCCCUAUACUUCUAGUUAAACUACAAGUUCGUUUUUCUAGUUGAAAUAAGCUUCUACCAUUCAAAAAGAAUUCUACUUCAUCUUCAUAUAAAUAGAUGACAAUGGUAAGACUAAAUAUGUAACAUCCCCACUUUAAAAAAAUAAAAAGAAAGAGAAGAAAAUUAUUUAUGGUAGAAGUCCUUAAAUAAGAAGAUGAAAGGACUUCUACCAUAAAUGAAAGAAGAAUUUUUUUUCUUUCCCCUCCAAUUCCCAGAGGGUCGAGGGAGAAAAGACUAAGUCUGUCAGUUGUUAUUAUUGUUAAUCCCAAUUCCCAGAGGGUCGAGGGAGAAAAGACUAAGUCUGUCAGUUGUUAUUAUUGUUAGUCCCAAUUCCCAAAGAGUCAUGGACUUCUCUGAUAGCCAUCGUUGCCAAAAAACUCGGGGUGGCGGAUUCGUGUAUCAAGUUAUGAGUCUAAACUUUAGUACGGGGUCUAAAAUGAAAGAAAGUAAAAAUAAAAGUUGAAUUUAUUUGAAUUUUCAUAUUGUGCAAAUUAAAUUAAUUCCGUGAUUUUGAAUUUAAUUAAAAACCUUAUUUUCUUUAUUCAAUUUGUCAAUAUCAAAAUAUUAAAGUUUAUUAAUAUUAGAAAAUUUCUUUUAUUGUGAUGUUAUUAAUGAUAUUUAUAAUCAUGUUUUAGUUUAUAUUUAUCAAUUAAUUUGUCUCCAAUACUUAUGCAACGAUUUAUAUGAUAUUAGCACCACUGAGUACAAAAAUUGCUCAACUUAUGGUUUGUUUAUUUUUUCGUGCACAGGUAGUUAGGUUUGUUAGAUCGUUCCAGCAGCAUCUGAAGAACCGAAGUUCAGCUCAAACAAUGUUGGUGAAGAGUUUACUUUAUAGUUAAUGUAAAUGGCAUGUACCUAGGCUUAUAAAUAUAUAAUAUUAUGUCGUAAACUGAAUUUAAAUAUUUUCAUUAUGUUUUCUUAGCUAGUAUUUUAUAACUAAUGUUUUGAUAAAAUAGUAAAGUAUAGAAAUCUAGUUUAUUGA